rnacentral:lncRNA from 1 species
AUUUAUUACUCUGUAAAGUGUGUAAAGGUUUUUCAUUUUAUGCCUUUUUUUCGAAAAGGGGGGAUACCCCGGCCUCUGCAUCAGCAUGAUGCAUACGGCCCUCUUAUUAACAAAAUAAAGUAGUACCAACAUGAUCCGAAAGAUCCGAAAGGUUUUUCAUUUUAUGCCUAUUUGGUCCUUUUAUCCAAGAAGGUAGUAAUUUCUUUUGCAGGGACAAAUGGCAGAAAAUAGCAUGGUUGACACCUUUUGUUCAUACAGAGGUUGAUGUUGGUUUGGUGAUUGAAGACUUGGUCUCUUCCAUAAUAUUUUGUAGUGGUCAAGUGAUCGAACAUUUGGUCUGUUAGGAUCUUAG